AUGAGGUUCCCUGCUCAGCACUUUGCACUGCUAAUGGUUUGGUUCCCUGGUAAGGACAGAAUGGGUGGGGAAAUCGUGAUGGCACAGACCCCACUCUCACUGCCCAUCACGCCUGGAGAGCCGUCCUCCAUCUCCUGCAGGGCCAGUCGGAGCCUCCUGCACAGUGAUGGAAAUACCUGUUUGUAUUGGUACCUGCAGAAGCCAGGCCAGUCUCCACAAGGCCUCAUCUACUUGGUUUCCAACCGUUACUCCUGGGUCCCAGACAGGUUCAGUGGCAGCGGGUCAGGGACAGAUUUCACCCUGACCAUCAGCAUGGCGGAGGCUGAUGAUGUGGGGGUCUAUUACUGCAGGCAAAGUUUACAGCAUCCUCGCACAGUGGUACAGGUCUGAACAUAAACCUCCUGCCUGGGGUCCCGGCUGCCCCAGUGAGCAGCUUCUUUGGGGAACUGACAGGACGUUCUCUGAGUCUGUGUGAGAGGAAGGAGCUGGAGGCCCCGGAGGAGUCGCUUGUCCCUGGGUGUCAGGCUCCACAUGUUGAGGCCCUGACAGCUGUCCAGUCUG